rnacentral:lncRNA from 1 species
CUCCAAACCGCAUUCCAACGGACAGCAGUGAAAAAUUACCCCACACAUACGCACCUCAGGCGUUCCAGCGAAGCAGAAUGAGAAAACGGUGGGGAAAAGGAAAGAUUAGAGCCUCCUCCGAGCAGCCGAGCGGCACCGUCGCGGAGGAGAGGCUGCGCCGCGCAGCCGUGAGGACCGGAGGAGACUACACCACCGGUCCGGGAACCUGUUGCCGUGAACCGCCACGGCGGCAUGGAAGGAGCACCGCUGCGGAUUGGGGAGGAGCGCCGUCGCGGGCCUAGGGAGAGCGCUGCCCGGACCAAGCUCCCUGCUUGACCGAUCAAGGACUCUCGAUUCCGGCCGCCUGCAGCACAUCAGGCCAUCAGCUAACAGGUCCCUUAUCUUCUCCCUCAAUUAGUUUGUGGUUCUGACCGCCCGCAAUACAAACCAAACUGAACUGAUAUGCGAGCCCGCAGUACAAACAAAACUGAACUUAUCUUCUUUCUCUGAAUAUACGCCUGGGUUUGACAUUUAGAUAUAACAGUUCUAAAAAUUACAUAUUGUUCUGAAAAUUAGAUAUUGUUAAAUUUAGGAAAAGCAACAGCAAUUAAUCGUAGCUAACUGGUUGUAUGGAUUCACAUGGUUUCCCAUAACUCUUUUCAUAGCUAGCUGAUCACUUGGUGGAGGACAAUACGUGCACUACUAUUCUUGAUCAAGUCACUUUUCAGUGUAUUAUGUUUGAGCUCACCAAUGGUGAUGUAGUCAACAUAUAUCUCUUCUGCUCCUGUCAGCUAACCUGUUUGUGCCGAGGCCUUAUGUCUGCGUGAUCAUUCUUUUCACUUUCUCUGUAUCUUCUACCUUUCAUGAACCAAAAGAUCAUAUUUGGAGCUGGUCAAGAAAGAGAAUAUAUUAAAUUUGUUUUUGUACUUUCUUUAGUGCUGAAAAUUUAUGCCUUUAUUUGCCAUUGUAUAGUGACCAUCCAGAAAAUUUAUGCCUAAAUUAGAUAUCUUUAUAUCUUUAUAUAGUAGAUUUGCUUUGCUACUAAGUCUAAAAAGGGGAACCUUGUUUUUGGUCAGAAUGGCAGCACCGGGCAAAGCUAGCGGUAUGCAACAACAGGGAGGCUCUUGAUUUGCUUAUAUCUGGUUCUGCUAUUAAGUUACUGAAGCAAGGUAUGUUCCUGUCUAUUGUGGUGGUGUCGUAUAGAUUUGCCAAAGUAUAGUUUCUUCAAAUUGUGAAGUGAAUCGUAAUGUCUCAAGCUCUGGUCUUGUAGUAUGUUCUUGUAUAUUGUGUUGGCCUCGUACAAAGUCGGAUAAAUUAGCAUGUACAUAAAGGAAACUACUUGAACAAAGUUUCAAUCUGUUUGGACUAAGAAUAUUGUUAACAUUCACACACUUAAUCUAAUAAGUGUCCUUAUUCUGGUUGAUGUCAGGUACUCUUACUUACCUUGGUCGAUACAAAUAGUUUGUCGUACUAUUUACUUAAUCUUCAUCUUCAAGCAUUGUAUUUUUGGUUUUUGCUUUAACACAUCUCUUGUUCCCGCGGACACCUUUUUCCUAUUGUUCUGGCGAAUUCGUCUCAGUGCAUUCAUUCUCUGAGUCGUCUGAUAUCACAACAGAUCUCAAGUCUUCUUUUAUUGCCACUGUUGGGCUCAUGUGUUGUUGCUGCUGAUAUUUUGUCUUGACGCCCAUCUUUGUUUAAUGUACUCCAAUUACUGUCAAUGUGGUUUCUCUUUCACACGCAUCAGUUCACAUGAAAGUUUGCCAGGUGAAUCUUUAUUAUUCUGUGACUGCAUACUUAUAAUUUUUAAAAAUUAGACACAUCUCUAAGAUCUGAAGUGUACAUAGUUAAAAAACCAAUCACCUCUUUAUCUCGCAUGUUCUGCUUCUUCAUUAACAUGGUGUCCACCUCAUCAUCCAUCAAUUCCUGUGCAACAUAUGUAAGAUGAGUUAGUUAAGGAAUUCUAAAGAUGGUACUUCAUAUUUUUCAAAAAAGUUUAAUGCACCUUUACCUCCUUGACUUUAUCGUUCAAGUAGAGCAUCUCAAGGCCAUCAUCAGGCAAAAAUGUUCUUUUUACUGCAUAGUUUUGUGUGCGACAGGUCAGAUUAUAUCAUUGAAAUUGAAUCAAAAUAUAAGUUUUUUCCACAUAUUUUUUUAAUAAUCUUUGGUGCAUCUUAUGAUUGCCCAUCUAGUGAGUUCAGCAAGUUAGAUGUAAAUGUAUAAAGCAAAUUAUUCUUCUCACCACGGGCUUCAUUUGUGUUAGUUGUCCAAUGACAUGUAUAUUUGGAGAUUAUUGAUAUAACAAUUAGAAAUAUCAAUUAUAUGGAAGUCGUAAUUACAACUAUCAACAUGCCUGAGCAUUGUGUAUCUUUUUCUGUCCUUUCUUGUAGUGUAUCCAUGGUCGCAAACUCGCGGCAAUAAUUCAGAAAAACUUUCGAAGAUCCUUUUACCUUUUACCUGUGUAAUGCAAAAAUAUAUUUUAAUUUCAUUUCUCAUUGGCCUAUAUUUUUUAAUUCCAACUCCUUAACAUGGUUGAAUGCAUAAAUAGAUUUCUUAUUGAUCUUUGAUCUAAACAUGUCUAUUAGAUUCUUCCAAAUAGUAACAUGGAUUGUUUCAGCCUGUCAAAACAAUCAAAUAGGGUUAGUGACUGCAUCUUAACUUGAAAAACUGCAAUUAAAUAUAUAAAAACCGACAUGCUCAUCCAUCAGUAUCAUAUCUAGGCUAGUUAGCUCAUGGGUCGUAGGAUUGACUGAAUCCCACACUCAUUGUGUUCACUUGAAUGUUCUAGUCAUGUCCCCUCAUAGUUAAGUCGCUGAACUUCUUGUAUGUGAUAGUGUUAUGUCCUCAAAAUUAAUAGAAAACAAUAAGUAAUUAAUACAUGAUUUAUGAAGAUUCUAGGCAGAAAAAGUAAGCUUCCUAAAUAACAAUCACCAAAUCUGAUGAUUCAGGCAAGAAGUGCUUUGGCGUGAGUUCUUCCAACGUUGACUGGAGCAAUUGGGCGUGGCUUUGUCGGGCGCCGGGCAUGCUUUGGCAUGACUUCAUUGGACGUCGAGUGAAGCGGCUGGGCAUGGAUUGUCGUGGUAGCUCUGUCGACUUCAAUAUGUUCAAGUCGUGGUGGUUGUCGACUUCAAAUUGAUUGGUGUGUUAUUGUGCGACUGCUUGUACUUGCUUAUAUGGGUUGAGGUCGCUGGAUUUGAGGUGGCCGAGAUGUCUGGAAAUAUGAUCAUGACCUUGUCCUAUUUUAAUUUUUCGGAAUUUUCAUCACGUGGGAUAUGAUAGUUAUCCCUAUUUGUUUAGGUUUGCAUUUCAUUCGUUCUUGUUUUGGAUUUUUCAUUACGGGAGAUACGUAUCCAACAUGGAUCCUUUCCAAACACUUCCAAGUUUUAUCUCAACAUUAAUUGCUUUUUUAAUUGCUUAUAGCACGUAGUACAUGGCAGUGCUUUUUUCCUCCCUUCUUUCCUUUCCUAUUAUGGUAGUGCUUUUUUUUCUCUCCCUUCUUUUCCUUCCUAUUAGGACAUGUAACGCUUACAUCUCGUGUAUGUGCUGGACUAUGAGACGUCCACAUGUAUGUCCGCGUGUAUGUGCUGGACUUUGAGACAUGCACAUGUAUGUGCUGGACUUAGUCGUAGUUUAUAUACUUCCAACUUUUUAUUCCUACACCUUGUACGUGUCAGCUCAACUUAUAUAACUUUUGGACGUAAUGUAAUAUCUUUAAAUCUUAGCCGUAAAUAUUAC